rnacentral:rRNA from 1 species
GGUUCAGAACGUCGUGAGACAGGUCGGUCCCUAUCCGUCGCGGGGGUAGGAAAUGUGAGAGGAGCUGUCCUUAGUACGGGAGGACCGGGAUGGACGCACCGCUGGUGUAACAGUUGUUCCGCCAGGAGCACAGCUUGGUAGCGAUGUGCGGAAGGGAUAAGCGCUGAAAGCAUCUAAGCGUGAAGCCCCCCUCAAGAUGAGAUUUUCCAUCGCGUCAAGCGAGUAAGAUCCCUUGAAGAUGAAAAGGUAGAUAGGUCCGAGGUGGAAGCGUGGAGACACGUGCAGCUGACGGAUACUAAUCGAUCGAGGACUUAACUAAG